rnacentral:rRNA from 1 species
AAUCAACGCUGGCGGCGUGCCUAACACAUGCAAGUCGAACGCGAAAGCCCCGCAAGGGGUAAGUAGAGUGGCAAACGGGUGAGUAACACGUGGGUGACCUGCCUUCGAGUGGGGGAUAACGUCCCGAAAGGGACGCUAAUACCGCAUGACAUCCUGCUUUUGAAAAAGCGGAGAUCAAAGCUGGGGAUCGCAAGACCUAGCGCUUGAAGAGGGGCCCGCGCCUGAUUAGCUAGUUGGUGAGGUAACGGCUCACCAAGGCGACGAUCAGUAUCCGGCCUGAGAGGGCGGACGGACACACUGGGACUGAGACACGGCCCAGACUCCUACGGGAGGCAGCAGUGGGGAAUUGUUCGCAAUGGGCGCAAGCCUGACGACGCAACGCCGCGUGGAGGACGAAGAUCUUCGGGUCGUAAACUCCUGUCGAGCGGGACGAACGCUUCGCGGAUGAAUAAUCCGUGGAAUUGACGGUACCGCUAAAGGAAGCCCCGGCUAACUCCGUG